rnacentral:rRNA from 1 species
GAUGAACGCUGGCGGCGUGCUUAACACAUGCAAGUCGAACGAUGAAGCCCAGCUUGCUGGGUGGAUUAGUGGCGAACGGGUGAGUAACACGUGAGUAACCUGCCCUUAACUCUGGGAUAAGCCUGGGAAACUGGGUCUAAUACCGGAUAGGAGCGUCCACCGCAUGGUGGGUGUUGGAAAGAUUUAUCGGUUUUGGAUGGACUCGCGGCCUAUCAGCUUGUUGGUGAGGUAAUGGCUCACCAAGGCGACGACGGGUAGCCGGCCUGAGAGGGUGACCGGCCACACUGGGACUGAGACACGGCCCAGACUCCUACGGGAGGCAGCAGUGGGGAAUAUUGCACAAUGGACGCAAGCCUGAUGCUGCGACGCCGCGUGAGGGAUGACGGCCUUCGGGUUGUAAACCUCUUUCAGUAGGGAAGAAGCGAAAGUGACGGUACCUGCAGAAGAAGCACCGGCUAACUACGUG